GUUUUGUCAGUGCCUUCUAGGCCAAGACACUUGUGACCCUUCGUUGAUCUCUGAUGUUGCCAAGCAACUGGUGUACAACCUCACCAUGACCUCUACUGAGCUACCUCAGGAGCUUGACUCUUCAGCUCCCUUAUUGAGUUGCUCUGUGGAUGACUCCCAGCUCAACAUUUUCGCAUUACACAUGGAGCAGAAGAACCAAACUAUGCCAGAAGGUUCUGAAUACCAGGAUGAUGCCACAGAGCUUGUCUGUGGUCUUAUCAAAGAACUCUCGUCUUUGAAUCGUACAGUGAUGGCUGCACACAAAGAGAUGGAACUAUUGCGCCGUAGCAACAGACCUCCGAAGCCUCCUGGCCGUCGCUGUUAUGGGCCUCGCCAUUCUGAGAUGUAGCCAUCACAUCAACAGUGUGUGACUCUGUCCUUGUGACAGAGGCUUGCUGGGCAAUGUAGUUUCCUUGGAAACUGCAGUAAAAUAAGUUAUUAAUAUAACAUUAAUAUUGAUAAUUUGCUGGCAGGAUUGUUAAUGGUGAUUUUCCUUUGGGAUUGUAUUCUCCUUAUAGUUAAGGACUAUAGAGCAUAUGUUCAGAUAGUUUAACAGAACCUUUUAGCUCAUGGUUCAGUACGAAGGUCGGGUUGAGACCUUGUUAGUACUGUUGAAGUUUAGAAUAGUUGCCUGUCCCCCUCAGUGAAUUUUCACUUCGUGUUCUUUUGGCCUGGGGCAGCUUUUAUUUUAUUGCAAAUAAAGCCUCUCGUACGUCACAAAGUUAAAUUUUAAAGUGUUACUUUUCAAUCUAUGACUUCUACAACUUAAAACAAGCCAAGGACUGAAAAAUGAAGCGUGUGUACAUUUGCUUUUGAUUUGUAAACAUUAAAAUGGGCGCCGUUCCGUUUGU
ensembl:lncRNA